rnacentral:rRNA from 1 species
GGAGGGGGCGAGCGUUGUUCGGAAUCAUUGGGCGUAAAGGGCGCGUAGGCGGUCGGGUAAGUCGGUUGUGAAAGCCCCUGGCUUAACCAGGGAAGUGCGGCCGAAACUGCCUGACUAGAGGCCGGGAGAGGAGAGUGGAAUUCCCAGUGUAGCGGUGAAAUGCGUAGAUAUUGGGAGGAACACCUGUGGCGAAGGCGGCUCUCUGGACCGGUUCUGACGCUGAAGCGCGAAAGCUAGGGGAGCAAACAGGAUUAGAUACCCUGGUAGUCCUAGCUGUAAACGUUGGGCACUUGGUGUUGCGGGUAUUGACCCCCCCCGCAGUGCCGGAGCUAACGCAUUAAGUGCCCCGCCUGGGGAGUACGGUCGCAAGGCUG